rnacentral:rRNA from 1 species
UACGAAGGGGGCUAGCGUUGUUCGGAAUUACUGGGCGUAAAGGGCGCGUAGGCGGUGUGUCAAGUCAGGCGUGAAAGCCCCGGGCUCAACCUGGGAACCGCGCUUGAGACUGGCACGCUAGAGUUCGGGAGAGGAUGGUGGAAUUCCCAGUGUAGAGGUGAAAUUCGUAGAUAUUGGGAAGAACACCGAUGGCGAAGGCAGCCAUCUGGACCGACACUGACGCUGAGGCUCGAAAGCGUGGGGAGCAAACAGG